rnacentral:lncRNA from 1 species
UUUAUUCCCUCCCCAACAAAUGCAGCCAUUUACUUCUUCCCCGGGGAGCCCAGGAAUCCUUUUAGUGCCUCCUUGAUAACAGCAGCUAAGGAUGGUUACUGAACACAGACUCUGCCCAGUGCCGUUCCAGUCACGGCCCCACGCUGGUGCAGGCAGUGCUGGCGACGGCCCGUGUGGUGCGUGCAGCCUAUGUGCAGUGCCCUGCAUUCUAUUGGACCACCAGCUCCAACUUCAGAUAUGACUGAAGGCAGAGUCACAGAGAGAGGAAGCCACCGGCCUCCAGCCACUUAGCAAGUGCUGGCCAAGCAGGGCUCAGGCCCUGGCCCCUGGCUCCCUGAAGGACAGACCCUGGUCUUGUUCAUUCUGUUCCCUUUGUCUCUACACCUGGAAUGGGGGUGGUGAUGUGCUUCUCUGUGUCCAGGCUCCUUCCCCUCCAGAGGGGCCAUGGCAUGCUGGCCUUUGCCACCCACUCCCUGACCAACUCCCAGGGCCCUGUGGGCGGCAGCGCCCCUGCCAGCUCCCUGCUCCUGUGUCUGGCCUGAGCUAGGCACUCGGCAUCACUGGAAAGGAGCUGGGCUGCCUGAGCUUCCUUCCUUGGGCUCCCCUGGCCAGAGGCAGCUGUUGUCCCCCACCAUGGGUGCACCAGGUCCCUGCCUCAGAGCCCCUCAGAUGCCAAGGCUGCCCCCCAAGAUGCAGCCAGAAUGCCAGUCUGUCUCAGGGCCGUGUGCCCUCUGAGCUGGCUCCAUGGUGGCGGGACAGCCCUGGCGGCCACGGCACAUGGGAACAGAUGAUUUCUUCGGGCCACCAAGGAUCCCGCAGAGACCACACCCAGCAUCCCGUGGUGGCUGGAAUUCCACACUGGGUCCACAGCAGCCUGGCCAGGGGCGGCUCUGAUGGGCUCGAAAAGGUGGGUGGCAAGCACCGGCCUGGCUGGCACUGACGGCCAUGACCACACGCACCUGAGAAGAACUUCCCGCUGCCAGUCCCCCAGCGGGGCUGUGGGGUGAGUGCCAGUGAGCAGGGCUGAGCCCAGGAAACGGCCUUGGAGGCCUGACCACGCCUGGCCACACAGAGGCUGAGCACUGAGCAGACUUGGUCCCGUGUCCCAGGCCACACUGCCUGGAUCCAGUGGCAGAGUGAGGCCAGAGAAUUUUCCAGAGCCCUGUGCUGCUAAUCCACUCAACCAAGCGGGGGCAGCUCUGGCCUAGAGGUGGUGUGGCGCCUGGGGCCUCUUCUCCUGGGGCACCCAGGGCUCUGUCCCAGACGGCUGCGUCCAGGGAAAUUCUAAUUGGAAUAAAGAAU